rnacentral:rRNA from 1 species
ACUCAAAGGAAUAGACGGGGGCCCGCACAAGCGGUGGAGCACGUGGUUUAAUUCGAUGCAAACCGAAGAACCUUACCUGGGUUUGACAUGUUAGUGGUAGGAGUUUGAAAGGAUGACGACCUAACAUUAGGUUAGGAGCUAACACAGGUGCUGCAUGGCUGUCGUCAGCUCGUGUCGUGAGAUGUUGGGUCAAGUCCCGCAACGAGCGCAACCCCUGCAUUUAGUUGCUACCGAGAGAGACGAGCACUCUAGAUGGACUGCUGCCGAUAAGGUGGAGGAAGGUGGGGACGACGUCAAGUCAUCAUGGCCCUUAUGUCCAGGGCGACACACGUGCUACAAUGGCCGGUACAGAGGGAAGCGAAGCCGAGAGGCGGAGCGGAUCCCAAGAAAGCCGGUCGCAGUUCGGAUUGAGGUCUGCAACUCGACCUCAUGAAGUUGGAAUCGCUAGUAAUCGCAGAUCAGCCAAGCUGCGGUGAAUACGUUCCCGGGCCUUGUACACACCGCCCGU